UUGAGAUCAAAUCAAACUGAAAAUACCUGUUCCCGUUCGAUAACCGAAGUUAAGCCCUGUCGUGCCUUGGACAGUACUUAAAUGAGGGACCGCUUGCGAACAACGGUA